rnacentral:snRNA from 1 species
GUGCUCGCUUUGGCAGCACAUAUACUAAAAUUGGAACGAUAGAGAGAAGAUUAGCCUGGCCCCUGCACAAGGAUGACAAGCAAAUCUGUGAAGCGUUCCAAAUUUUA